UAAUCUGUUUGGGGCAUAUCCUUAUUUAGUUAUGGCAAACUCACACCUGACUGCUCAGAAUCACUCACUACUGCGUGAACAAUAACUUUUUGAGAUUUUAAUUGAAGU
rfam:Populus trichocarpa scaffold_2_contig_85, whole genome shotgun sequence.